CCCACUGGGCUCACCUACAUUUCAGGGGUAUCCUGGGACUGAGGCAGAGGCUUUCACCUGGGGCAAUAUUAACACUCAGCAAAAUUAGGAAGGAGGAUGAAGGAAUCAGCAUGGUGGAGUGGAAAUAUGGUGCACAUUUAGUCAAAAAGAUUUGGAUCUGAAUUCAUAGCCGUGUGGCCUGGGGCAAGUUGUGAAGAGGGGAUGGUGCCAUCUGCUUUACAGGAGAGAAAUCUAGAAGUGGAAUUGCUGAGCUGUAGAGUAUGUGAAUCUCUACAACUUUCAACUUUACCAUGUAUUGUCAAAUUGCUCUCCAAAGUGAUGGUACCAAUUAAUGAUACUACCAAUAAGGAUCUCAACAGGACAAACACAAAGAAAAUAUCAAGGUGCAUCAUAGACAAAUUAUUGAAAAUCAGCAAUAAGGAGAAAACCUUAAAAACAGCAAGAUAAAAAGAUGCAUUAUGUGUAAAAUUAAAAAAGAAAACAAUGAUUGCUGAAUUCUUAUCAUACCAAUGCACAAAAGACAACAGAACAAUAUCUUUAAUGUGUGAAAAGUAAAAAAAAAAAUGUCAAACUAAGUUUUACAUUCAGGAAAAAUAUUCUUUGAAAAUAGAAGACAAUGAGAUUUCUGAUUUGUGGUUAUCACUCCCAUUCUCAUAAUAAGAAAAAAUCUGAAAAAACUGGAAAUCCACAACUCUUCUUAAAAUUGAGGUAACAGGGCAAGCCACUACCUUGAAUAUUAGAGACAGGAAGAUACAAAGAAUUCAGCUUAAAGAAAGAAGGAAGCCUUGGAGGAGAAGCCUGGUGCUGGAGCCUGUACCACUUUCCACAACAUCAACUGUGCUACUGUAUAAUAACAGGGCAUUAUAGCCAAAGAACUGUAAGCCUCAGACCCUAUUUAAGGAAGAGUCUCCAGGGAAAUCUAAAAAUAACAGGGAAGACUAAAACAAGGACACCCAGAGAAAAUGCUAGCCUUUGAUAUGUACAGCUAUAGCAACUGGCAAACACAAUGUAACUCCUAGCCAGAUCAACAUUGAACCUCACACAAAAGGUCUAUUUACUUCAUUUCCUUCUAAUUGAUACAUCCUCUCAGGCUGUCAGCAAAAAACUAGAAGACGUGAAAAUGCAAAAACUCUGUCUGAAGAGAGAAAGCAUGCCUUAGACUCAGACUGGCAGAAAUUUUGAGUGAUCAAACCAGAUAUUUAAAAUAACUAUGAUUAAAAUGCUAGCAGAAUGGAAAAAGUAAACAACAUGCACAAAUGGAAGGCAAAACAAAGACAUUUUCAAAUAAGCAAAAGGUGAUAGAAUGUGUCAUCCACAGACCUGCACUAUAAAAAAUGGUAGAGGAAGUUCUUCAGUAUGAAAGUGAAUGAUACCAGAUGGAAACUGAGAUCUACAAAAUGAAACAUCACUGGAAAUAGUAAAUACAUGGAGAAAGGAAGGGACAGCAACUUGGAGUCUGGAGCUGACGCAGAGGAUGUUUCUUGAUAUCUUCAACUUGAACCUGUCUCACUUGACAGAUUUAUGCUGCCAGAGUGGUUCUUCUAGUAAGAAGCCCCUUGCCAUCAGACACUGCAUUUCACUUGGUGAUUUUCCAGACUCCUCAAAUCUUUUAUGGAAAGAGAGUUUCACCUGCCACCUGGAUCAUUUCCUAUUUUUCUGCAGCCACUUCAGGGCGGGGACCCAGUAUCACGAAGCUGCAAGCUUUGCUGCCAGUUUUCCAUCCAUCCCCCGGGGCUGAGAUGAGGUGAGAGGUAAUCCAGGAUAGGAGUCCCUCUGAAGCAAACAGAACAUCCAUCAAAGACCCGAAAGAACAUAAGGCCGCAAAUCCUAUCUAUGAAGAUAGGCACUUCCAUUCAUUCUGAAGUCCUCACAUAGUAGUUAUUCAGUGAAUGUACCCUGGGAUCCACUUUUCACCUUUCCCCUUACCUGCUUUGUGCUUCAAGAAACUGACUUCAACAGACAGCAUCAUCUGGGCUUCUUUACCCUGUAGUGUUCAGCUGAGUUCAGCCAAUGGAAGACACUAGUAGAAGACUGGAAGGAUAGAGGAGAGAAAGAUUGGAAUAUUUAUUCCCAUCUCAUACUACAGUUUUUGUAGUGAUGGUUCUUCCUAUUGGACAGCUUCCACCUAUAACUACAGUUCUCUCCUGGUUCCAGAAACUGCUUUCUCCACUUCUGACCUAGGAGUAGCCACAGCUCCCAGCUGUUGUUAGACCCCAGGUGUAUUUUGUCAUCUCUUGUUACUUCCCUUAACCCUGCCACAGCUCUGAAAAUAGUCCAGUAAUUAAAUACUUUUUGAGCUAUU
rnacentral:lncRNA from 1 species